GAUGAACGCUGGCGGCGUGCUUAACACAUGCAAGUCGAACGGUGAAGGCGGAGCUUGCUCUGCUGGAUCAGUGGCGAACGGGUGAGUAACACGUGAGCAAUCUGCCCCUGACUCUGGGAUAAGCGCUGGAAACGGCGUCUAAUACUGGAUACGAGCUGCGAAGGCAUCUUCAGCAGCUGGAAAGAAUUUCGGUCAGGGAUGAGCUCGCGGCCUAUCAGCUUGUUGGUGAGAUAAUGGCUCACCAAGGCGUCGACGGGUAGCCGGCCUGAGAGGGUGACCGGCCACACUGGGACUGAGACACGGCCCAGACUCCUACGGGAGGCAGCAGUGGGGAAUAUUGCACAAUGGGCGAAAGCCUGAUGCAGCAACGCCGCGUGAGGGACGACGGCCUUCGGGUUGUAAACCUCUUUUAGCAGGGAAGAAGCGAAAGUGACGGUACCUGCAGAAAAAGCGCCGGCUAACUACGUG
rnacentral:rRNA from 1 species